GGCCCAGUCUAAGUUCCUUGGAACAGGACGUCAUAGAGGGUGAGAAUCCCGUAUGUGAUUGGUGCCGUCCCCCGUGUAAAGCUCUUUCGACGAGUCGAGUUGUUUGGGAAUGCAGCUCAAAAUGGGUGGUAAAUUUCAUCUAAAGCUAAAUAUUGGCCAGAGACCGAUAGCGCACAAGUAGAGUGAUCGAAAGAUGAAAAGCACUUUGGAAAGAGAGUUAAACAGUACGUGAAAUUGUUGAAAGGGAAGCGCUUGCAACCAGACUUGCGGGCGGUCGAUCAUCCGAGGUUCUCCCCGGUGCACUCGAUCGUUCUCAGGCCAGCAUCGGUUUCGGUGGUGGGAUAAAGGCUGUGGGAAUGUGGCCCUUCGGGGUGUUAUAGCCCACGGUGCAAUGCCGCCUACCGGGACCGAGGACCGCGCUUCGGCUAGGAUGCUGGCGUAAUGGUUGUAAGCGACCCGUCUUGAAACACGGACCAAGGAGUCUAACAUCUAUGCGAGUGUUUGGGUGUCAAACCCAUACGCGUAAUGAAAGUGAACGCUGGUAAGAGCCCGUUAGGGUGCAUUAUCGACCGAUCUUGAUGUCUUCGGAUGGAUUUGAGUAAGAGCAUAGCUGUUGGGACCCGAAAGAUGGUGAACUAUGCGUGAAUAGGGUGAAGCCAGAGGAAACUCUGGUGGAGGCUCGCAGCGGUUCUGACGUGCAAAUCGAUCGUCAAAUUUGCGUAUAGGGGCGAAAGACUAAUCGAACCAUUGACCAAACUACUAGGUGGUUAAGAGUCACAGUGAUCUAGUCCGCCGUAAGGCCGGGCGACACUCUCAAAUUGCGGGGACGUCCCGCUAGUUCUCCAGCUACCGCAGCUACCCUGAAAGGGGGGCGAGCACCGGCCCGUCAAUGGGCUGGGGAUGGUAACAGCGCUGGAGAUAGGGAUGAUCCGCAGCCAACUCCUAAGGGCCUUCAAGCCUACGGACGCAGUACACAGACUAGACGGGAGUGGGCCCUCAGGGCUUAAGCUAUAGUCGACCCCCCGCGAGAGC
rnacentral:rRNA from 1 species